rnacentral:tRNA from 1 species
GGGGCGGUAGCUCAGCUGGUCAGAGCGGCGGACUCAUAAUCCGGCAGGUCGUGGGUUCGAGCCCCACCCGCCCUA